UACAGAGGGGGCAAGCGUUGUUCGGAAUUACUGGGCGUAAAGCGCGCGUAGGUGGCUUCGUAAGUCCGUUGUGAAAGUCAAAGGCUCAACCUUUGAAUGCCGAUGGAUACUGCGAAGCUAGAGUACGGAAGAGGCGAGUGGAAUUCCUGGUGUAGCGGUGGAAUGCGCAGAUAUCAGGAGGAACACCAAUAGCGAAGGCAGCUCGCUGGGACGUUACUGACACUAAGGCGCGAAAGCGUGGGGAGCGAACAGG
rnacentral:rRNA from 1 species